CAUUGCAUUUUUCAGUGCUGGGAACUGAAAGACUUGCCUUCUGACAAAUGUUCAGACUAUAAUAAUACAUUAUCAGAAUGCAAAAACACCCUGACUCCUGUAGUCGUGCUUUAAAAUGACAAGAAUUUCAACCUUCCAUCAUUGUCGUAGAAGUUACGACAUGAUUCAAGUCAAAACCAAAGGGUUCGCUGUCAUUAAGCCAAGUCUGCAACACUGCACUGAGUUUGUUGUACGACCUCCACAUUUUUGUCAAAGGGGGAACAACUCAUUCCCAAAUAACUACAUAUGAAGAUGGUUCAGUAGACUUAACCACUCUGUAUUCCAGCCUGCAUUUCUGCACACUCUUAAGAAAUCAAAAAACACAAAAAAAUGGCAUAAAGGUAAAUCAUACUGAGUUGUGUGAUCAGAUGUGGAGUCACAACAAGUGAAGCUAUGAAGCAAAAAUCUGGUAAGUUCAUGUUUUUGUUUUUCUCACAGAGGUUUCACAAUACCAAGUGUAAAUAUUUGUAACUACAAAAUGUUGAUGAACGCACAGAAAACGUAGUGUUCCAUUUCAUCUUGUGUUUUCAUCCAUUACAGGUUGUUUUUAAUUCUAUUUUCUUCCAUUACAAUAUUUGGAUAUGUUGAACACAGACAGCAGUAGGAUUUGACAGAUUAAAAACCAGGACAGUUGUUUUCAUUUGCAUUUGAGCUGAUAUGGUAGUGUGUGCUGUCCAGUGACCUUCUAUAAUAUAUAUUUAUGUCCAUAAUGAAAUCUAAAAACAAAUUUCUGGUGCUGUUGGGUGCAGAGUUCAGAAAGUGAACUCUGAUUUUUAGCUCAUAUUGUAAUGUGGUUGACACAUUCAGACACAAUGAGCAUAUGUAUUUCAACAGAAGAAACACAGCAAAAACCUAAAGGAAAAGGAGUAUGUAUCUAACAAUGCUAAGCUUUAAUAUUUAUUUUGCGUCUUUAAUGUUAAACUUACUAACCUUCUCAGGGGAGGGACUCAGCUAAUUUGACCCAAACCUUAGUUUAAAGGCAUUAUGGUUUAUUAUUUCUGCCCUCAAAAGCAUUUGUGCGUCCACAACACUUGAGUUGUGUGUCAGUGAGGACCAAACAGUGGUCUAGUGUUUGACCACUCAUGAACAUGCAUAAGACAUUGCCAUCACCUGCUUCUCUCACCUGUUCUCACCACCCUCCCAACCAGGAUCACUGUGUCAUACUCUGCUUUAAUUGAUGUUUGAAUCUUCUCCUAGGAUUUUACCCUCUCCAGGCUGGCUUCAAAUGGGGGGAGUCCACAGACAGUUGAUAGUCUUCUUGUAGGUAGAUGAAAAAAAAA